rnacentral:rRNA from 1 species
GACGAACGCUGGCGGCGUGCUUAACACAUGCAAGUCGAGCGGUAAGGCCCUUUCGGGGGUACACGAGCGGCGAACGGGUGAGUAACACGUGGGUGACCUGCCCUUAGCUCUGGGAUAAGCCUGGGAAACUGGGUCUAAUACCGGAUAUGACCUCAUGACGCAUGUUGUGGGGUGGAAAGCCUUGUGCGGCUAGGGAUGGGCCCGCGGCCUAUCAGCUUGUUGGUGGGGUGAUGGCCACCAAGGCGACGACGGGUAGCCGGCCUGAGAGGGCGACCGGCCACACUGGGACUGAGACACGGCCCAGACUCCUACGGGAGGCAGCAGUGGGGAAUCUUGCGCAAUGGGCGAAAGCCUGACGCAGCGACGCCGCGUGGGCGAAGAAGGCCUUCGGUU